rnacentral:misc_RNA from 1 species
GGAACAUGACAUGCUAAGUGAAAAGGAUUGAGGAAACUAGAUCGAGACCAAACUAGCACAAAGCUGUCAGAUACAAGAGCAGAUCAAGCACAAAACAGCAACAAACAAACUAAAAGAACCAGACCAAGAACACAGAAACACAAGGAAGACGCCAAAGUCCAGUAACUUCAAAAAGAAAGUGUCACCACCAAAUACCAACACGCGAAUCCAUAUAACCAAAUGAUACGAACUGAACCCAAAGAACACUUCGCAGAGCACCCUCCAGAGACAAAAUCAUCAAAAGUCGCAGACCAAAGAGUUCCUUGCAACUAGAGCAACAUGGGCUUGAGGAUCGACAUGGAAUAGGCUUACUGUUGCUGCAAACAUAGCGUUGAUUGUCACCGCACCCAUAAUUAGUUGAACAAAAUUCAGCAGUAAAAUAUACCCUUUUAUUAACCACCAAAUCAUUUUUUGAUGAUCUAUGUCUUGUAGAAGCAAAUUCCCAUCUCCCAUGUAAAUCUAAUGAGAA